UUAAGUUCAGCGGGUAUCCCUACCUGAUCCGAGGUCAACCACAGAGUUGGGGGUUCUGGCCGGCCACCGCCGGACCCUGGAGCGAGAGCUGUACUACGCUGAGGGCCAGGCGGCGCCGCCACUGUCUUUGGGGCCGGCCACCGCGGGCAGGGCCCAACACCAAGCAGCGCUUGAGGGUUGAAAUGACGCUCGAACAGGCA
rnacentral:misc_RNA from 1 species